UCCUGCUCAGUUCCUGACUAGUUUGGCUUAUCCUACAUUGGACAUGCCCCCUCAGACGUGCCCAUAUUUCAAUGGAUGCCAGGAAUGGACACCCAACCUCCUUUAUGUUCUGAACAGAGGAGAGAUGAUGAGAGCUUCUCUCUGGACGUUUUCUCAGGAUUGGCUGGGUGAGAUUCAAACCAGGAUUCCUUGGCUUGUGCAGUGAUGCCCUUCGGGGCGAGCCAUGGAUGCAGGAGCAAGAAUGGGCAGCAUAGUCCUUUUGAGUCCAAGCAUGCUGCAUCCCACCCAGAGGCCCGUAAAGGCUCUGCAUUUUCUUCUGGGACAAUUACAAAUAGAACAAGGAAAACCCAUCUCUAUGGUCCAUUCAAGAUGGAGUCUCCUGAAGCACUAUCACUGGUGGUCAUGAACAAACAGGAAGGAGAGAUAUCCAUCUCUCACCCAACCAC